rnacentral:rRNA from 1 species
CGGGGGAAGUAUGGUUGCAAAGCUGAAACUUAAAGGAAUUGACGGAAGGGCACCACCAGGAGUGGAGCCUGCGGCUUAAUUUGACUCAACACGGGAAACCUCACCAGGCCCGGACACUGGAAGGAUUGGCAGAUUGAGAGCUCUUUCUUGAUUCAGUGGGUGGUGGUGCAUGGCCGUUCUUAGUUGGUGGAGCGAUUUGUCUGGUUAAUUCCGAUAACGAACGAGACUCUAGCCUGCUAAAUAGACGAUGGAUCCUAGUGGUGGAUCGCUCUUCUUAGAGGGACAAGUGGCGUCUAGCCAUAUGAGAGUGAGCAAUAACAGGUCUGUGAUGCCCUUAGAUGUCCUGGGCCGCACGCGCGCUACACUGGAAGAAUCAGCGCGUCCUCCCUGUCCGAGAGGACCGGGUAACCGCUGAACCUCUUCCGUGGUUGGGAUUGGGGACUGCAAGGAUCCCCAUGAACCAGGAAUCCCUAGUAGGCGCAAGUCAUUAGCUUGCGUCGAUUACGUCCCUGCCCUUUGUACACACCGCCCGU